AGGGUUUGAUCCUGGCUCAGGAUGAACGCUGGCGGCGUGCUUAACACAUGCAAGUCGAACGAACCUUCGGGUUAGUGGCGGACGGGUGAGUAACGCGUGAGAAUCUGCCCUCAGGAGGGGGAUAACGGUUGGAAACGACCGCUAAUACCCCAUAUGCCUACUGGUGAAAUGAAUUUCGCCUGAGGAUGAGCUCGCGUCUGAUUAGCUAGUUGGUGAGGUAAUGGCUCACCAAGGCUUCGAUCAGUAGCUGGUCUGAGAGGAUGAUCAGCCACACUGGGACUGAGACACGGCCCAGACUCCUACGGGAGGCAGCAGUGGGGAAUUUUCCGCAAUGGGCGAAAGCCUGACGGAGCAACGCCGCGUGAGGGACGAAGGCCUCUGGGCUGUAAACCUCUUUUCUCAAGGAAGAAGAUAUGACGGUACUUGAGGAAUAAGCCACGGCUAAUUCCGUGCCAGCAGCCGCGGUAAUACGGGAGUGGCAAGCGUUAUCCGGAAUUAUUGGGCGUAAAGCGUCCGCAGGCGGCUUUUCAAGUCUGCUGUUAAAGCGUGGAGCUUAACUCCAUCAUGGCAGUGGAAACUGAAAGGCUUGAGUAUGGUAGGGGCAGAGGGAAUUCCCGGUGUAGCGGUGAAAUGCGUAGAUAUCGGGAAGAACACCAGUGGCGAAGGCGCUCUGCUGGGCCAUUACUGACGCUCAUGGACGAAAGCCAGGGGAGCGAAAGGGAUUAGAUACCCCUGUAGUCCUGGCCGUAAACGAUGAACACUAGGUGUCGGGGGAAUCGACCCCUUCGGUGUCGUAGCUAACGCGUUAAGUGUUCCGCCUGGGGAGUACGCACGCAAGUGUGAAACUCAAGGAAUUGACAGGGGCCCGCACAGCGGUGGAGUAU
rnacentral:rRNA from 1 species